AGAGUUUGAUCAUGGCUCAGGAUGAACGCUAGCGGCAGGCUAAUACAUGCAAGUCGUGGGGCAGCAGGUCCCGUAGCAAUACGGGAUGCUGGCGACCGGCAAACGGGUGCGGAACACGUACGCAACCUUCCUUUAAGUGGAGGAUAGCCCGGGGAAACCCGGAUUAAUACUCCGUAACAUUAUGAGAUGGCAUCAUCUUAUAAUUAUAGCUCCGGCGCUUAAAGAUGGGCGUGCGUCUGAUUAGGUAGUUGGCGGGGUAAUGGCCCACCAAGCCUACGAUCAGUAACUGGUGUGAGAGCACGACCAGUCACACGGGCACUGAGACACGGGCCCGACUCCUACGGGAGGCAGCAGUAAGGAAUAUUGGUCAAUGGACGCAAGUCUGAACCAGCCAUGCCGCGUGGAGGAUGAAGGUCCUCUGGAUUGUAAACUUCUUUUAUCUGGGAAGAAACCCAUUUUUUCUAAAGUGGUUGACGGUACCAGAUGAAUAAGCACCGGCUAACUCCGUGCCAGCAGCCGCGGUAAUACGGAGGGUGCAAGCGUUAUCCGGAUUCACUGGGUUUAAAGGGUGCGUAGGCGGGCAGGUAAGUCAGUGGUGAAAUCUCCGGGCUUAACCCGGAAACUGCCGUUGAUACUAUCUGUCUUGAAUAUCGUGGAGGUGAGCGGAAUAUGUCAUGUAGCGGUGAAAUGCUUAGAUAUGACAUAGAACACCAAUUGCGAAGGCAGCUCGCUACACGGUUAUUGACGCUGAGGCACGAAAGCGUGGGGAUCAAACAGGAUUAGAUACCCUAGUAGUCC
rnacentral:rRNA from 1 species